rnacentral:rRNA from 1 species
UACGUAGGGUGCGAGCGUUAAUCGGAAUUACUGGGCGUAAAGCGUGCGCAGGCGGUUUUGUAAGCCAGGUGUGAAAUCCCCGGGCUCAACCUGGGAAUGGCAUUUGGGACUGCAAGGCUGGAGUGCGGCAGAGGAGACUGGAAUUCCUGGUGUAGCAGUGAAAUGCGUAGAUAUCAGGAGGAAUACCGAUGGCGAAGGCAGGUCGUCUGGGCUGACACUGACGCUCAUGCACGAAAGCGUGGGGAGCGAACAGG